rnacentral:lncRNA from 1 species
UGCAGCUGAUCAUCGACAAGUCGACGGCAAUUGCGAUGAAGAGCUCACAGGCUGGGCGUCCUCUCGGCAGCUCCGGAGAUGACGGUGAGCAGGUUGUUGCCGAAGGGGUCGCUGAGGUGCGCAGAGAGGUUCUCAACGGGGCCCUCGCCAGUGACGUAUGCCUGGAUGAAGAAACCCAGCAUGGAGAACAUGGCUAGCCGGCCGUUCUUGAUCUCCUUCACCUUGAGCAGCGCCGCCUGGUCGGGGUCGCUGGCGAGGCCGAGCGGGUCGAAUGGGCCACCGGGGUGGAGCUUGUCCUCAAGAUCCUGCCGGAGAAAUUGAUGAAAACCGUUGGUCAGUACAAAGUUCCUAAUUGCAGCUCAACUUAUGUAUAUGUUUGAGGUGUUACUGUCACUGAC